rnacentral:rRNA from 1 species
UCGCCACCGAUGAUCUUCCCAAUAUCUACGCAUUUCACCGCUACACUGGGAAUUCCCCUUGCCCCUAUCGCACUCUAGCCACCCAGUUUCAAUUGCCCUUAUAGAGUUAAGCUCUACGCUUUAACAACUGACUUGGAUAACCACCUACGGACGCUUUACGCCCAAUAAUUCCGGAUAACGCUUGCCUCCUCCGUAUUACCGCGGCUGCUGGCACGGAGUUAGCCGAGGCUGAUUCGAUAGGUACCGUCAUUGUGUUCUUCCCUAUCAAAAGAGGUUUACAACCAGUAGGCCUUCCUCCCUCACGCGGUCUUGCUCCGUCAGGCUUUCGCCCAUUGCGGAAAAUUCCCCACUGCUGCCUCCCGUAGGAGUCUGGGCCGUGUCUCAGUCCCAGUGUGGCUGAUCAUCCUCUCAGACCAGCUACUGAUCGUCGCCUUGGUAGUCCCUUACACUACCAACUAGCUAAUCAGACGCGAGCUCUUCCUCAGGCCAUAUAAGUUUUACCUCUCGGCACAUCGGGUAUUAGCAGUCGUUUCCAACUGUUGUCUCCAUCCUAAGGGUAGAUUCUCACGCGUUACUCACCCGUCCG